GGUCACAUAGCUCAGUGGAUAGAGCACAAACCUCCUAAGUUUGGUGUCGCAGGUUCGACUCCCGCUGUGAUCGCCA
rnacentral:tRNA from 2 species